rnacentral:rRNA from 1 species
GAUGAACGCUGACAGAAUGCUUAACACAUGCAAGUCUACUUGAACUUCGGUUUGGGUGGCGGACGGGUGAGUAACGCGUAAAGAACUUGCCUCACAGAUAGGGACAACAUUUGGAAACGAAUGCUAAUACCUGAUAUUAUGAUUUUAGGGCAUCCUAGAAUUAUGAAAGCUAUAUGCACUGUGAGAGAGCUUUGCGUCCCAUUAGCUAGUUGGAGAGGUAACGGCUCACCAAGGCGAUGAUGGGUAGCCGGCCUGAGAGGGUGAUCGGCCACAAGGGGACUGAGACACGGCCCUUACUCCUACGGGAAGCAGCAGUGGGGAAUAUUGGACAAUGGACCAAGAGUCUGAUCCAGCAAUUCUGUGUGCACGAUGAAGUUUUUCGGAAUGUAAAGUGCUUUCAGUUGGGAAGAAAAAAAUGACGGUACCAACAGAAGAAGUGACGGCUAAAUACGUG